CUGCUGCCUUCCGUAGGAGUUUGGACCGUGUCUCAGUUCCAAUGUGGGGGACCUUCCUCUCAGAACCCCUAUCCAUCGAAGACUAGGUGGGCCGUUACCCCGCCUACUAUCUAAUGGAACGCAUCCCCAUCGUCUAUCGGAAUACCUUUAAUCAUGUGAACAUGCGGACUCAUGAUGCCAUCUUGUAUUAAUCUUCCUUUCAGAAGGCUGUCCAAGAGUAGACGGCAGGUUGGAUACGUGUUACUCA
rnacentral:rRNA from 1 species